ensembl:lncRNA
GCUCACCGCACCCUGGAGCCAGCCGCUCUGAGCGGGAGGAGCGACGUGUGUGUGUGUGUGUGUACAGGCACCCAGCGGACGCAGAGAAGGAGCAGCGGAUGGCAGCGUCUGUUCCUCUGACGGAGUGAGGACCCGCGUACUCUGAGCACACCAGCAACCCGUCUCCUGAAGGACCAGAGGAUUCUGAGGACCAGGGACUCUGUGGCUGCCACGGCAACCGCCAGCUCAGCAGCGAAGGAAUCGGAGGCGUGCGUUGAGUGGACCCGGAGAAGAGGGGGAGAAGGACCCGGAAGGAGGAAGAGGAAGAGGAGAGGAGGAGGAUGGCGGCGGAGGAGAAGCCAGG